rnacentral:rRNA from 1 species
CAGCCGCCGCGGGAAUACGUAGGUGGCAAGCGUUGUCCGGAAUUAUUGGGCGUAAAGGGCUCGCAGGCGGUUUCUUAAGUCUGAUGUGAAGGCCCCCGGCUCAACCGGGGAGGGUCAUUGGAAACUGGGAAACUUGAGUGCAGAAGAGGAGAGUGGAAUUCCACGUGUAGCGGUGAAAUGCGUAGAGAUGUGGAGGAACACCAGUGGCGAAGGCGACUCUCUGGUCUGUAACUGACGCUGAGGAGCGAAAGCGUGGGGAGCGAACAGGAUUAGAUACCCCAGUAGUCCCUGUCUCUUAUAC